UGACUUUGGUUCUUUGGUUUCCACGCCUAAUAGUUAGACACUUCUUCUUAUCUUUUUUCUUUUCUUUUAUUUCUUUUUAAUUUGCAAUUCCUUGGGUGCUCUUCACGUGAUUUUGAGCUAGUAGGAAGUAUUUUGCCUCCAUUUCCUAAUCAAAAUAAUGAUAAACAUAUCAAGUACUCUAAUCCCUACCUUAUAAAAAGUAGGAGAUUGUUCUUAUGAACAGUGCACGAACCUUUUUACCCUUAAAAUAUUUAUUUACCUUCUUAUCCCUAUUCAUAAAUGAGUUUUGAGAUUUCUUCCUUUCUCCCUCCUCCUCAUCUUUGUUCACCAUGAGUAGAAGAAACCCCAAAGAGUAGGAGACAAAGAAGAUGAAGAACAACCAAGAGUCUCCAAUCCCCCGCUAGCCGGAAAUGUCGCAAGGCUCACAUCUCGGUGCCAUUGAACGUCCUUCGUUUGAUUUUGAAAACUCCACUCUAUAAAGUAAGCACAACUUCUGAACAAUGCCCAUGUACAAAGACGACCAAGUCUUGGUUGUUCGUGGUACCUCAUGGUCGCUUCUUGGGAGCUCGACAUUCAGGUAAAGGGCAGCCUACCAUGGAAAGGCCUACAAGACUGAGGAUUGCCUUUGGAGCAGCAAAAGGAUAAGCAUAUUUGCAUGAGGAUCUUAAGGGGAUAGCUUACAUGGAUGACAAGUUAGUUGAUUGGGCAUGCAAUUUCUCCAUACAUUGAGCUAUUCAUUGUAUUCCUCUUGUUUUUAACUAAUCAGCCUAACAAUUGAUAAGAUAAAUCAUACGAGUAAUAACCCUCAAAUUCAAACUAAGACGUGGAAAGGGUGAUUGGCUAGAAUUUGAAGCAAUAACUACCGGCUUGGCGACUAAGCCCAUGUACUAUUGUACUUUCUCAAACGUCCCUGAUCAGAAUUUGGGUUCUAAAAUGGCAAAGGAAAGCCAUUUUCUUUGCCUGAACGCAACUAUAGCAGCAACAUGAAGUGGCUUCUUACAAAGAGCACUGGCAUACACAACACCUUUUGGUUAGCUUUUGAUACCAAUGUAAUUUGUAUUAGUAAGAUUAAACUACAUUGAUGGGUCAUUGGUUGUAAUUUUUGCUUUUUAAAAAACACAAAUCAUCUUUGAACUCUUUUCUGGUACUACUUAACCAGCCCAAAUCUUUUUGAUAGAUGCAAUAGUUUCAUGGUUAUGUUCAAAAAUUUCAAACCUAUGAAUAUUAUUGUUUUUGCAUUACACAUAAUAAUUAUGGCCU